UACGUAGGGGGCAAGCGUUGUCCGGAUUUAUUGGGCGUAAAGAGCGUGUAGGCGGCCACACAGGUCAGCUGUGAAAACUCGAGGCUCAACCUCGAGACGUCGGUUGAAACCGUAUGGCUAGAGUCCGGAAGAGGAGAGUGGAAUUCCCGGUGUAGCGGUGAAAUGCGCAGAUAUCGGGAAGAACACCGGUGGCGAAGGCGGUUCUCUGGGCCUUACCUGACACUGAGGAGCGAAAGCGUGGGGAGCGAACAGG
rnacentral:rRNA from 1 species